rnacentral:rRNA from 1 species
UAAGGAAUAUUGGACAAUGGCCGCAAGGCUGAUCCAGCCAUGCCGCGUGCAGGAAGAAGGCCCUAUGGGUCGUAAACUGCUUUUGAACAAGAGAAAACCCCUCUACGUGUAGAGGGCUGAUAGUAUUGUUAGAAUAAGCAUCGGCUAACUUCGUGCCAGCAGCCGCGGUAAGACGAAGGAUGCAAGCGUUAUCCGGAUUCAUUGGGUUUAAAGGGAGCGUAGGCGGACUUGUAAGUCAGUGGUGAAAUCUUUGGGCUUAACCCAGAAACUGCCAUUGAUACUGCAAGUCUAGAGUACAGUUGCCGUUGGCGGAAUAUGACAUGUAGUGGUGAAAUACUUAGAUAUGUCAUAGAACACCGAUUGCGAAGGCAGCUAACGAAGCUGUAACUGACGCUGAGGCUCGAAAGUGCGGGGAUCAAACAGG